rnacentral:rRNA from 1 species
GAUGAACGCUGGCAGCGUGCCUAAUACAUGCAAGUCGAGCGAACGGACGAGAAGCUUGCUUCUCUGAUGUUAGCGGCGGACGGGUGAGUAACACGUGGAUAACCUACCUAUAAGACUGGGAUAACUUCGGGAAACCGGAGCUAAUACCGGAUAAUAUUUUGAACCGCAUGGUUCAAAAGUGAAAGACGGUCUUGCUGUCACUUAUAGAUGGAUCCGCGCUGCAUUAGCUAGUUGGUAAGGUAACGGCUUACCAAGGCAACGAUGCAUAGCCGACCUGAGAGGGUGAUCGGCCACACUGGAACUGAGACACGGUCCAGACUCCUACGGGAGGCAGCAGUAGGGAAUCUUCCGCAAUGGGCGAAAGCCUGACGGAGCAACGCCGCGUGAGUGAUGAAGGUCUUCGGAUCGUAAAACUCUGUUAUUAGGGAAGAACAUAUGUGUAAGUAACUGUGCACAUCUUGACGGUACCUAAUCAGAAAGCCACGGCUAACUACGUGCCAGCAGCCGCGGUAAUACGUAGGUGGCAAGCGUUAUCCGGAAUUAUUGGGCGUAAAGCGCGCGUAGGCGGUUUUUUAAGUCUGAUGUGAAAGCCCACGGCUCAACCGUGGAGGGUCAUUGGAAACUGGAAAACUUGAGUGCAGAAGAGGAAAGUGGAAUUCCAUGUGUAGCGGUGAAAUGCGCAGAGAUAUGGAGGAACACCAGUGGCGAAGGCGACUUUCUGGUCUGUAACUGACGCUGAUGUGCGAAAGCGUGGGGAUCAAACAGGAUUAGAUACCCUGGUAGUCCACGCCGUAAACGAUGAGUGCUAAGUGUUAGGGGGUUUCCGCCCCUUAGUGCUGCAGCUAACGCAUUAAGCACUCCGCCUGGGGAGUACGACCGCAAGGUUGAAACUCAAAGGAAUUGACGGGGACCCGCACAAGCGGUGGAGCAUGUGGUUUAAUUCGAAGCAACGCGAAGAACCUUACCAAAUCUUGACAUCCUUUGACAACUCUAGAGAUAGAGCCUUCCCCUUCGGGGGGGCAAAGUGACAGGUGGUGCAUGGUUGUCGUCAGCUCGUGUCGUGAGAUGUUGGGUUAAGUCCCGCAACGAGCGCAACCCUUAAGCUUAGUUGCCAUCAUUAAGUUGGGCACUCUAAGUUGACUGCCGGUGACAAACCGGAGGAAGGUGGGGAUGACGUCAAAUCAUCAUGCCCCUUAUGAUUUGGGCUACACACGUGCUACAAUGGACAAUACAAAGGGCUGCGAAACCGCGAGGUCAAGCAAAUCCCAUAAAGUUGUUCUCAGUUCGGAUUGUAGUCUGCAACUCGACUACAUGAAGCUGGAAUCGCUAGUAAUCGUAGAUCAGCAUGCUACGGUGAAUACGUUCCCGGGUCU